ACUUAAAUUGAAGAGUUUGAUCAUGGCUCAGAUUGAACGCUGGCGGCAGGCCUAACACAUGCAAGUCGAGCGGUAGCACAGAGAGCUUGCUCACGGGUGACGAGCGGCGGACGGGUGAGUAAUGUCUGGGAAACUGCCUGAUGGAGGGGGAUAACUACUGGAAACGGUAGCUAAUACCGCAUAAUGUCGCAAGACCAAAGUGGGGGACCUUCGGGCCUCAUGCCAUCAGAUGUGCCCAGAUGGGAUUAGCUAGUAGGUGGGGUAACGGCUCACCUAGGCGACGAUCCCUAGCUGGUCUGAGAGGAUGACCAGCCACACUGGAACUGAGACACGGUCCAGACUCCUACGGGAGGCAGCAGUGGGGAAUAUUGCACAAUGGGCGCAAGCCUGAUGCAGCCAUGCCGCGUGUGUGAAGAAGGCCUUCGGGUUGUAAAGCACUUUCAGCGGGGAGGAAGGCGUUAAGGUUAAUAACCUUGGCGAUUGACGUUACCCGCAGAAGAAGCACCGGCUAACUCCGUGCCAGCAGCCGCGGUAAUACGGAGGGUGCAAGCGUUAAUCGGAAUUACUGGGCGUAAAGCGCACGCAGGCGGUCUGUCAAGUCGGAUGUGAAAUCCCCGGGCUCAACCUGGGAACUGCAUUCGAAACUGGCAGGCUAGAGUCUUGUAGAGGGGGGUAGAAUUCCAGGUGUAGCGGUGAAAUGCGUAGAGAUCUGGAGGAAUACCGGUGGCGAAGGCGGCCCCCUGGACAAAGACUGACGCUCAGGUGCGAAAGCGUGGGGAGCAAACAGGAUUAGAUACCCUGGUAGUCCACGCCGUAAACGAUGUCGAUUUGGAGGUUGUGCCCUUGAGGCGUGGCUUCCGGAGCUAACGCGUUAAAUCGACCGCCUGGGGAGUACGGCCGCAAGGUUAAAACUCAAAUGAAUUGACGGGGGCCCGCACAAGCGGUGGAGCAUGUGGUUUAAUUCGAUGCAACGCGAAGAACCUUACCUGGUCUUGACAUCCACAGAACUUUCCAGAGAUGGAUUGGUGCCUUCGGGAACUGUGAGACAGGUGCUGCAUGGCUGUCGUCAGCUCGUGUUGUGAAAUGUUGGGUUAAGUCCCGCAACGAGCGCAACCCUUAUCCUUUGUUGCCAGCGGUUAGGCCGGGAACUCAAAGGAGACUGCCAGUGAUAAACUGGAGGAAGGUGGGGAUGACGUCAAGUCAUCAUGGCCCUUACGACCAGGGCUACACACGUGCUACAAUGGCAUAUACAAAGAGAAGCGACCUCGCGAGAGCAAGCGGACCUCAUAAAGUAUGUCGUAGUCCGGAUUGGAGUCUGCAACUCGACUCCAUGAAGUCGGAAUCGCUAGUAAUCGUAGAUCAGAAUGCUACGGUGAAUACGUUCCCGGGCCUUGUACACACCGCCCGUCACACCAUGGGAGUGGGUUGCAAAAGAAGUAGGUAGCUUAACCUUCGGGAGGGCGCUUACCACUUUGUGAUUCAUGACUGGGGUGAAGUCGUAACAAGGUAACCGUAGGGGAACCUGCGGUUGGAUCACCUCCUUACCUUAAAGAA
rnacentral:rRNA from 1 species